GGAUCUGGCUGUUUUCUCCUAAGGGAUAGAAAUCUCCUCACCAUGUUCUGGGCUCUGCUCAUCGUCCUACUAGGAACAUGGUGCACAGGUUCUAGCUCCCAGUCUGUGGUGACUCAGCCGCCUGAAGUGUCAGUGUCCCCAGGAAACACCGUGAAACUCUCCUGCACCAUGAGCAGUGGGACCAGCAUCAGUGACUACUAUGUGUUCUGGUACCAGCAGAAACCUGGGAAUUCUCCACGAUACCUGCUGUAUUACUAUUCAGAGUCCAGCAAGGGCCAGGGCUCUGGGGUCCCUGCUCGCUUCUCUGGUUCCAAAGACAGUAACACCGGCUAUCUGACCAUCUCCGGGGCCCUGGCAGAGGAUGAGGCUGAUUAUUACUGUGCUGUGAUAAAGAGUGGCACUGCUGCUCUACACAGUGACACAGGCAGAUGGGGAAUCCUGAGUCUAACUUUGACACUGCUACUCAUUAUAUAUGAGAGUAGCAGCAGAACCUCCGGAGUCCCUGAUCGAUUCUCUGGUGCCAACUCCAGUAACAUGGCCACAUUAACCAUCACUGGAGUCCAGGCGCAGGACAAGGCUGAUUAUUACUGUCAGACGGUCAUUGCUGGAGUGGAGCUGAGCUAG